rnacentral:rRNA from 1 species
UACGGAGGGGGCUAGCGUUGUUCGGAAUUACUGGGCGUAAAGCGCGCGUAGGCGGCUUUGUAAGUUAGAGGUGAAAGCCCGGAGCUCAACUCCGGAAUAGCCUUUAAGACUGCAUCGCUAGAACGUUGGAGAGGUAAGUGGAAUUCCGAGUGUAGAGGUGAAAUUCGUAGAUAUUCGGAAGAACACCAGUGGCGAAGGCGACUUACUGGACAACUGUUGACGCUGAGGUGCGAAAGCGUGGGGAGCAAAC